UACGGAGGGCGCGAGCGUUGUCCGGAAUCACUGGGCGUAAAGGGCGCGUAGGCGGCCCUGGUAAGUCUGCGGUGAAAGCCCGGGGCUCAACCCCGGGUCGGCCGCGGGUACUGCCGGGCUGGAGUGCCGUAGGGGCAGGCGGAAUUCCGGGUGUAGCGGUGGAAUGCGUAGAGAUCCGGAAGAACACCGGUGGCGAAGGCGGUCUGCUGGGCAGUUGCUGACACUGAGGCGCGACAGCGUGGGGAGCAAACAGG
rnacentral:rRNA from 1 species